rnacentral:rRNA from 1 species
UACGUAGGUGGCAAGCGUUGUCCGGACUGACUGGGCGUAGAGCGCGCGCAGGCGGUGCGGGGCGCCGGUGCUGAAAUCGGGCCGCUUAACGGCCCGCGGCGUGCCGAUACGCCCGCACUGGAGCACGGGCGAGGGUGGUGGAAUUGCCGGUGUAGUGGUGAAAUGCGUAGAGAUCGGCAGGAACACCCGUGGCGAAAGCGGCCACCUAGCCCGUGGCUGACGCUGAUGCGCGACAGCGUGGGGAGCGAACUGG